AGCGCCGGGAAAGAUGGCGGCGUGUGCGGUUUGAAUUCCAGCGGCGCCGCCAAAGUCCGAACAAGAGCAGGAUUGGAGGGGGCGGGGACCUGGGGAGCCUGCGGGUCGCGACAGCGGGGGAACCAGUUGACCCCGCCGCCACAGACACCAACGCCACCACCUCCUCUGUGUCCACGAUGGACUCGGUGUUGGAAGAGGACGUCACCCUCCCCGGGACGCUCAGCGGCUGCAGUGGCCUUGUUCCCAAUUUACCGGACGAAGUGGAUGGCAUCAGUCCCAUUGCUGGUUUGGGAAGUGGUGUGCUCCCAAAUGUGUCAGAAGAAACGGUGUCUCCCACCAGAGCACGGAACAUGAAGGACUUUGAAAAUCAAAUCACUGAAUUGAAGAAAGAAAACUUUAAUCUAAAGCUCCGCAUCUAUUUCCUGGAGGAAAGAAUGCAACAGGAAUUUGACGGCCCAACCGAGCACGUCUAUAAAACUAACAUUGAACUCAAGGUGGAAGUAGAGAGUCUGAAGCGGGACCUCCAGGAAAGAGAGCAGCUGCUCAUCAAAGCCUCCAAAGCAGUUGAGAGCCUUGCCGAAGGAGGUGGCUCCGAAGUUCGGCGGGUGAGAGAGGAUGCCCAGAAGAAGGUGCGGCAGGUCGAAGAUCUCCUAACCAAGAAAAUACUGCAUUUGGAAGAGGAUGUGAAAGCUGCCCAAGCAGAACUGGAAAAGGCCUUUGCAGGGACGGAAACAGAGAAGGCUCUUCGGUUGAGCUUGGAAAAGAAGCUUUCAGAGAUGAAGAAGAAGCACGAGGGGGACUUGGACAUGGCUGUGGUCCUGGAGCAGAAAGACAGACUGAUUGAGGAGUUGAAGCUGUCUUUGAAGAGCAAAGAUGCUUUAAUUCAGUGCCUUAAAGAGGAGAAAUCUCAGAUGGUGUGUCCUGAUGAGAGGGUGUCAUCUGGGGAGCUCCGAGGACUCUCUGCUGCUCCGAGGGGAGACCAGGAGGGAGGAGCCGAGGCUGCACAAAUGGAGCGCCAGCAGGAGAGACACCGCUUUGAAGAGAGGAUCCAGGCACUUCAGGAGGACCUGAGAGAGAAGGAAAGAGAAAUUGCUACAGAAAAGAAAAAUAGUUUAAAGAGGGAUAAAGCCAUUCAGGGUCUAACCAUGGCAUUAAAGUCAAAGGAAAAAGAGGUGGAAGACCUUAACUCUGAGAUCGAAGAGCUCAGUGCUGCCUUUGCAGAAGUCACAGAGGCGCCCCUGAAGGCACAGACACAGAAAUUCCAGGGGUCUGAAAAUUAUGAGGCUGCUCUGUUAGAGAAGGCAGCCCUUCUAGCACAGCUGAACUCCGAAAACCUCAGCAAGAGUGCAGAGAACCACAGACUGCGAAGGAACAUUAAGAAGGUCACCCAGGAGCUGAGCACUCUGCAGCAGGAGAGGGAGAGGUUGGAGAAGGACUUGGAGGAAGCCCGUCGUGAGAGGAGCAGAGGCGACCACACCAUUCACGACCUUAGAAAUGAAGUUGACAAACUACGCGAUGAAGUGAAUGAAAGAGAGAAAGCCGUGGAGAAUCGUUACAAGAGUCUUUUGAGUGAAAGUAAUAAGAAAUUGCACAGUCAAGAACAAAUGAUCAGAAGUCUAACAGGAAGCAUCGAUCCAAAGGAUUUGUUGCUUCAGAAAUUCAGUGGAAAAGGUUCGGAAGCAGUACAGCAGACUUGUCCUUCACAGACUGGAGGGGAGCUCGGGGUCAGGACUGAGGGCUUCUCCGAAAAGUGCUCACAGCGGUCACCAGGCAGCAGCUGCAUCUUCUCGGAGGAAAAGCAGCAAUUAGACUAUGAAGAGCUGAUUCAGGUCUUGAAGAAGGAGCAGGACAUCUAUACACAUCUGGUGAAGUCUCUGCAGGACCCAGACAGUAUCAACAGCCUGCAGACUGAGUUAAACAGCAUUUUCGCUUUGCGGAAGCAGCUAGAGCAGGACGUACUCGCCUAUCGGGAUUUGCAAAGGACCCUGGAGGAGCAGAUCAGUGAAAUUCGGAGGCGGGAAGAAGAACCAUUUUCAUUUUAUAGUGAUCAAACUUCUUAUCUGAGUAUUUGCCUUGAAGAGCCCAAUCGGUUUCAAGUGGAACAUUUUUCUCAAGAAGAACUUAAGAAAAAGGUCAGUGACCUCAUACAGCUAGUAAAGGAACUGUAUACAGACAACCAGCACCUGAAGAAAACCAUUUUUGAUCUCUCCUGCAUGGGUUUCCAGGGAGGUGACAGACUUGAGUCGAUAGGACAAUCUGAGCUUCUGGCUAGCAAGGAGGACGAGGACAUGACCAGAACUGGAGAAGAUGACGAGCAUAAUUUCCUGAGUGACCAGCAUUUGGAGCAGAGUGACAAGGUCACGGAGGACUAUCCCAAAGCGGGCUGCAAAAACGGAUACUUGAGGCACACAGAUUCCAGUAUUCUAGACUACGAUGGAACCCGCAAACCUGGCUGCCCCGGAGACCAGAGUGUGGAAGAAGGCGAGCUCCUGAACCUGCUUGCCCCUUUCUUCAAUGAGAAGGCCACAUUGUUACUGGAAUCCAGGCCAGACCUUCUGAAAGUGCUGCGGGAACUACUCCUGGAACGAACGUGCUUGACAGAGCAGGGAGUGUCUGCACAACACCUUGAUGGUAAAACUGAGAAGUCCCUUAAGCAAAUGGCUGCUCAGCUAAGAGGUGAACUCAGACAUUUCAACCAAGUCAACUCAUUGUCCAAGUCCCGUGAUGAAGGGAAGUCGCCGCGGACAGCCCAGCUGGGAAGGACGGGUCAGGUGUCCAAGCCGGAGCUGAAAGAUGCCUCCGUGCAGACCGUGGCGGUGGAGGGGGACACGCGCAGUUUCCAGAACGAGGGCAAGAGAGAGGCGUGGGCAGAGAAGCCACCAGACGCCGUGUUUCACACUGAGGGUCCGCCGGAGAACUUGUGCGUGGCAUCAGGGCAGCAGGCCACUGCCCCUUCCUUCCCCAGCGGGACUGACAAAGAAGCUAAGAAGUCCCGCCUGCCCAUCCUGAUAAAGCCGUCCCGGUCAUUAGGAAAUGUGUAUCAGCUUCCCGUCACCCAGGAGGUGGUGGCCCAGCUGCAGGGUCAAGUCUUGGAGCUGCAGGGGGAGCUGAAGGAGUUUAAAAUGCACAAUAAGCAACUUCACCAAAAGUUAAUUCUGGCUGAAGCGAUGAUGGAGGGGAGGCCAGCGCCAGACAAAAUGCUACAGAAAGCCCAGCCCCUUGUGGGAUCAGCCUACCAGGACAGCCCAGGAGAGCAAAAGGAAAUUAAAACCAUGCCCUGUGACUGGAGAGACAAGGAAGGGGACAGUGACCAGCGCACCAGCUAUGAGACCGACUCUGAAAUUUGCCAGCCCGAUGGCCUUGCCAUCUUGCCAGCGUGCAGAGGGAAUCCUUCUGAAGACUUCCCAGGCCCGACCUCAGUAGCUGCCUACUCGAGUUCUAAGAACCUGCUUUCCACCAAAGUCAGUGUGAUUGGGACUCCUCAGUCCGAAAAAAUCGACACUUCAAGUGAUACAGACAACUUAAAACAGAAAAUCUGUGACUUGGAAACUGAGCUCGAGGGCUACCGGAAUUUCUUACUUCAGCUUCAAAAGCACUCCCAGUGCAGCGAGGCCAUUAUCACAGUUCUGUGUGGGACAGAGGGGGGCCAGGACGUCUUGAAAAAGCCCAAGGGUAGUACCGAUGAAGAAGAAAUGACAUUCUCAAGUUUGCACCAAGUCCAUUAUGUGAAGCGCAUGAAGAUCCUCCGUCAGCUGGCUCCAGAGGUGACCGACGGUGGGCUGCUGGAGGGCCUCAGACAGCAGCUGGUGGAACAGGAGCACGAGCUGCAGAGGGAGCAGAAUUUGAACAUGGAGCUUUUCAGUGAAAUCCAUAACCUGCAGAAUAAGUUCAGAGAUCUCUCACCCUCCAGGUACGAUUCAUUAGUUCAGUCCCAAGCCCGGGAGCUCUCCCUUCAAAGACAGCAGAUUAAGGAUAGCCACGGCAUCUGUGUCAUCUGCCGGCAACAUAUGAACGCCAUGAUCACGGCGUUCGAGCAGUUGCUUCAGGCCAGCGACGUGGAUCACUCCGUGGCCGAGGGUUUCCAGGAGCAGCUGAAUCAAUGUGCUGAGCUGCUCGAGAAAUUGGAAAAGCUGUUUCUCAACGGGAAAUCAGCUGAAGUGGACAAGAGCCCCCAGAACGAACCGAUGGAGAGGAUGGAAGAAGACGGUAUCACCUACCAGCACAUCCUCCCUGAGUCUCCUGAGCCAUCUGCCUCUCACGCAUUAUCCGACUGUGAAAUGUCGGAGAAGUCGUCCGUCCUCUCACAAGACCAGAAGCAAGACAGCGAGACCGGGAAGACCUCGGUCUUGACGAACCAUUUCUCUCAAGACUUAGUAAUGGAACAUAUUCAAGAAAUUCGAAGUCUGAGGAAACGUUUAGAAGAAUCUAUUAAGACAAACGAGAAGCUUCGUGGACAGCUGGAACGGCAGGGGUCUGAACUCGAUCCAGGUUCUACAAAUGCUUUUGCUUAUGGAUCAGAGCUGCACAAUUCUCUGACAUCAGAGAUCUGUUUCCUGAGGAAGCAGAACCAGGCUCUCAAUACGAUGCUGGCCAAGGGAUCCAGAGAUAAACAGAAGGAGAAUGAAAAGUUACGAGAGUCCCUCUCCAGGAAGGCUGCGAACCUCGAGCUCCUCCAGCGAGAGUAUGCCUGUGUGAAGGGGGAGAAUGAGCGGCUGCAGAGGGAGGUCUGCGAGCUGGAGCGGCACAACCAGCAGCUGCUCCGGGAGGUGGGCAGCAGCCGCAGUGAGCUGAGCAGGGUGCAGGAGGAGGCAAAGUUGAGGCAGCAGCUGCUCUCCCAGAACGACGAGCUCCUGCAGUCCCUCCGAGUGGAGCUGAAGGUGUACAAGAGGCUGGAGGAGGAGCACAGGAGGCCAAGAGAGGCCGGAGCAGAGACAUCAGGAGAAGGCUGGAGGGGGCAGGACCCUUUCAGUGACCUGCGUGGUCUCCUAACAGAGAUCCAGGCUCUUCGGGGGCAGCUGGAAAAGAGCAUUGAGACCAACAGCGCACUGCAGGGCAGGCUGGAGGAGCAGCUGGCGAUGGCAGGGAAGAAGGCUCAUGAAGCAGCCUUCACUGUGGCUCUCCACACCCUGUCCGUCCCGGAGUGGCCCCCGCAGCCGGACAAGCACGGCAGUGACACGUGCCCCACGGCGAGAGAUGAUUCCUGUGACCUGAUUGAUUCCACACUGGUGCCGCCGCCACGGUCAGCUUCAGAGACUCCUCCACUCUCUGGAAAUGACACGGACUCCCUCUCCUGCAACAGUGGCAGUUCGGUCACCAGCAACCCGUGUGUGUCCCACCUGGUUGCUGGCCACCGCCUGUGGGCCAACACGAGUGGCUGCCACGUCCUGGGCCUGACUGGGGACUACGAGGCCCUGUGUCAGCAGAUCGGCCAGGGCCAGAAGCUCUUUGCUGAGAUGGCCCUGCAGAUCCAAGAGGCUCCCCGGUCCGCAAGCCCAGAGCUGGGACCAAAGGGUCCACACUUGGCACCUCUGAGCAGGUUCAUCACCAGUGUGGGCACAGCCAAGCUGAUCCUCGAAGAGGCCGCGAGAUUAUUGACGCUUUUCUGGAGGGUCUCACUCCCCACAAAUGGCCAGUGCACGCUUCAGUGUGAACAGACCCCUGUCGAAGCAAACCAGGUUGUUUAUUGGCUUCUACUAAGAAGGUGCGGAGAUGAGCACCCAGGAACACAGGCAUCGUCGUGUACCCACAGAGUUAUUGCUGGGGGUACGCGCCCGAGCGUAGACUUGCUGGAUCAAAGGGUUAAGCGCAUCUUACAGUUUGGUUAAGUCUUGCCGGCCGUUCCACCUGCACCGUGCUAACUGGCAGACCCACCAGGCUCGUGAGUGCUCACCCCACACCCUGGCCCCGCUGGGUCUUGCCUGGUUUUACCAGUCUGACCAGCAGAGAAUGGCUUCUAGUUUCCAUUCAAAUAUUGCUGUUAGUAAGACUGGAGAAAUGAAGGCAGAGAUCACCAAACUACACAAAAAGCUGUUUGAACAAGAAAAGAAGUUGCAAAACUCUGUGAAGCUUUUGCAGCUGAGCAAGCACCAGGAAAAAGUCAUCUUU